rnacentral:rRNA from 1 species
UACGUAGGGGGCAAGCGUUGUCCGGAAUUAUUGGGCGUAAAGAGCGCGUAGGCGGUCCGAUAAGUCGGCUGUGAAAGUCAGGGGCUCAACCCUUGAAAGCCGGCCGAUACUGUCGGACUAGAGUCCGGAAGAGGCAAGUGGAAUUCCCGGUGUAGCGGUGAAAUGCGCAGAUAUCGGGAGGAACACCAAUGGCGAAGGCAGCUUG